rnacentral:pre_miRNA from 12 species
AUUCACUCUAGUGCUUUAUGGCUUUUUAUUCCUAUGUGAUAGUAAUAAAGUCUCAUGUAGGGAUGGAAGCCAUGCACCACAUAAUGUAAA